GUUAGGAAUAUUGGACAAUGGGCGCAAGCCUGAUCCAGCCAUGCCGCGUGAACGAUGAAGGCCUUCGGGUUGUAAAGUUCUUUAGCCGAUGAUUAUAAUGACUGUAGUCGGAAAAUAAGCCCCGGCUAACUUCGUGCCAGCAGCCGCGGUAAUACGAAGGGGGCGAGCGUUAUUCGGAAUCACUGGGCGUAAAGCGUGCGUAGGCGGUGUUGUAAGUUAGGAGUGAAAGCCCAGGGCUCAACCUUGGAAGUGCUCUUAAAACUGCAAGGCUCGAAUCUCGGAGAGGAUAGCGGAAUUUCCAGUGUAGCAGUGAAAUGCGUAGAUAUUGGAAGGAACACCAGUGGCGUAAGCGGCUAUCUGGACGAGUAUUGACGCUGAGGCACGAAAGCGUGGGAAUCAAACAGGAUUAGAUACCCUAGUAGUCC
rnacentral:rRNA from 1 species